UACGUAGGGUGCAAGCGUUAAUCGGAAUUACUGGGCGUAAAGCGUGCGCAGGCGGUGAUGUAAGACAGUUGUGAAAUCCCCGGGCUCAACUUGGGAACUGCAUCUGUGACUGCAUCGCUGGAGUGCGGCAGAGGGGGAUGGAAUUCCGCGUGUAGCAGUGAAAUGCGUAGAUAUGCGGAGGAACACCGAUGGCGAAGGCAAUCCCCUGGGCCUGCACUGACGCUCAUGCACGAAAGCGUGGGGAGCAAACAGG
rnacentral:rRNA from 1 species